rnacentral:lncRNA from 1 species
AUGGACUUUGUCUCUGCACCAAUCCUUCUUUAUUUCUCAUGAGGAAAACAGCUAUAUUGAUUGCAUUAUGAAAAAUUAUACGCUAUUCUGAGGAUAUCGGUGGCUUUGUAGUAGUGCCAGCUGUUUCAACUUGUGUUCAUCUAAGCUCUCUCAUUGCAGGGUCAAGGGUGUCAUCAUCACGGUCACCAUGACUGGCAAUGCUUCCACUUAUUCGCUGGGUCAAGGGUGUCAUCAUCACGGUCACCAUGAUUGGCAAUGCUUCCACUUAUUCGCUGGGUCAAGGGUGUCAUCAUCACGGUCACCAUGACUGGCAAUGCUUCCACUUAUUCGCUGGGUCAAGGGUGUCAUCAUCACGGUCACCAUGAUUGGCAAUGCUUCCACUUAUUCGCUGGGUCAAGGGUGUCAUCAUCACGGUCACCAUGACUGGCAAUGCUUCCACUUAUUCGCUGGGUCAAGGGUGUCAUCAUCACGGUCACCAUGACUGGCAAUGCUUCCACUUAUUUGCUGGGUCAAGGGUGUCAUCAUCACGGUCACCAUGACUGGCAAUGCUUCCACUAAUUCGCUGGGUCAAGGGUGUCAUCAUCACGGUCACCAUGACUGGCAAUGCUUCCACUUAUUCGCUGGUAAGAAUGGACUUUGUCUCUGCACCAAUCCUUCUUUAUUUCUCAUGAGGAAAACAGCUAUUUUGACUGCAUUAUGAAAAAUUAUACGCUAUUCUGACGACAUCAGUGGCUUUGUAGUAGUGCCAGCUGUUUCAACUUGUGUUCAUCUAAGCUCUCUUAUUGCAGGGUCAAGGGUGUCAUCAUCACGGUCACCAUGACUGGCAAUGCUUCCACUUAUUCGCUGGUAAGAAUGGACUUUGUCUCUGCACCAAUCCUUCUUUAUUUCUCAUGAGGAAAACAGCUAUAUUGACUGCAUUAUGAAAAAUUAUACGCUAUUCUGACGACAUCAGUGGCUUUGUAGUAGUGCCAGCUGUUUCAACUUGUGUUCAUCUAAGCUCUCUUAUUGCAGGGUCAAGGGUGUCAUCAUCACGGUCACCAUGACUGGCAAUGCUUCCACUUAUUCGCUGGGUCAAGGGUGUCAUCAUCACGGUCACCAUGAUUGGCAAUGCUUCCACUUAUUCGCUGGGUCAAGGGUGUCAUCAUCACGGUCACCAUGACUGGCAAUGCUUCCACUUAUUCGCUGGGUCAAGGGUGUCAUCAUCACGGUCACCAUGAUUGGCAAUGCUUCCACUUAUUCGCUGGUAAGAAUGGACUUUGUCUCUGCACCAAUCCUUCUUUAUUUCUCAUGAGGAAAACAGCUAUAUUGAUUGCAUUAUGAAAAAUUAUACGCUAUUCUGAGUAUAUCGGUGGCUUUGUAGUAGUGCCAGCUGUUUCAACUUGUGUUCAUCUAAGCUCUCUCAUUGCAGGGUCAAGGGUGUCAUCAUCACGGUCGCCAUGACUGGCAUUGCUUCCACUAAUUUGCUGGGUCAAGGGUGUCAUCAUCACGGUCGCCAUGACUGGCAUUGCUUCCACUAAUUUGCUGGGUCAAGGGUGUCAUCAUCACGGUCACCAUGACUGGCAAUGCUUCCACUUAUUCGCUGGGUAAAGAGUGUCAGCAUGAUGGUCACCAUGACUAGCAAUGCUUCCACUUAUUUGCUGGGUCAAGGGUGUCAUCAUCAUGGUCACCAUGACUGGCAUUGCUUCCACUAAUUUGCUGGGUCAAGGGUGUCAUCAUCACGGUCACCAUGACUGGCAAUGCUUCCACUUAUUUGCUGGUAAGAAUGGACUUUGUCUCUGCACCAAUCCUUCUUUAUUUCUCAUGAGGAAAACAGCUAUUUUGACUGCAUUAUGAAAAAUUAUACGCUAUUCUGACGACAUCAGUGGCUUUGUAGUAGUGCCAGCUGUUUCAACUUGUGUUCAUCUAAGCUCUCUCAUUGCAGGGUCAAGGGUGUCAUCAUCACGGUCACCAUGACUGGCAAUGCUUCCACUUAUUCGCUGGGUAAAGAGUGUCAGCAUGACGGUCACCAUGACUAGCAAUGCUUCCACUUAUUUGCUGGGUCAAGGGUGUCAUCAUCACGGUCACCAUGACUGGCAAUGCUUCCACUAAUUUGCUGGGUCAAGGGUGUCAUCAUCACGGUCACCAUGACUGGCAAUGCUUCCACUUAUUUGCUGGGUCAAGGGUGUCAUCAUCACGGUCACCAUGAAACCCGCCGGGGUGGCUCACUCAUCUAAGGCGUUGCGCUUCUGAGCAAGAGGUCGCGGGAUCGAAUCCCGGCCGCAGCAGCCGCCUUUCGAUUGAGGCUGUUGCAAAAACGCCCGUGUGCUUGUGUUGUGGUGCACGUUAAAGACCCCCAGAUGGUCAAAAUUAAUCCGGAGGUCUC